rnacentral:rRNA from 1 species
CACGUAGGGCGCAAGCGUUGUCCGGAAUUAUUGGGCGUAAAGAGCUCGUAGGCGGCUUGUUGCGUCGACUGUGAAAACCCGCGGCUCAACCGUGUGGCUUGCAGUCGAUACGGGCAGGCUAGAAUUCGGUAGGGGAGACUAGGAAUUCCUGGUGUAGCGGUGAAAUGCGCAGAUAUCAGGAGGAACACCGGUGGCGAAGGCGGGUCUCUGGGCCGAUAUUGACGCUGAGGAGCGAAAGCGUGGGGAGCGAACAGG